AAUGCCUGGGAAAUUGCCCUGAUGUGGGGUAUAACCAUUGGAAACGAUGGCUAAUACCGCAUGAUAGCUUCGGCUCAAAGAGGGGGACCUUCGGGCCUCUCGCGUCAGGAUAUGCCCAGGUGGGAUUAGCUAGUUGGUGAGGUAAUGGCUCACCAAGGCGACGAUCCCUAGCUGGUCUGAGAGGAUGAUCAGCCACACUGGAACUGAGACACGGUCCAGACUCCUACGGGAGGCAGCAGUGGGGAAUAUUGCACAAUGGGCGCAAGCCUGAUGCAGCCAUGCCGCGUGUGUGAAGAAGGCCUGCGGGUUGUAAAGCACUUUCAGUAGGGAGGAAGGUGGUGUUGUUAAUAGCAGCAUCAUUUGACGUUACCUACAGAAGAAGCACCGGCUAACUCCGUGCCAGCAGCCGCGGUAAUACGGAGGGUGCGAGCGUUAAUCGGAAUUACUGGGCGUAAAGCGCAUGCAGGUGGUUUGUUAAGUCAGAUGUGAAAGCCCGGGGCUCAACCUCGGAAUAGCAUUUGAAACUGGCAAGCUAGAGUACUGUAGAGGGGGGUAGAAUUUCAGGUGUAACGGGUGAAAUGCGUAAAGAUCUGAAGGAAAUACCGGGUGGCGAAAGGCGGCCCCCCUGGGACAGAUACUGACACUUCAAAUGCGAAAGCGUGGGGGAGCAAAC
rnacentral:rRNA from 1 species